rnacentral:rRNA from 1 species
CCNGUGAGCGNAGGACGAAUUGCGGAAUUCAGUGAGUCAUCGAAAUUUUGAACGCAUAUUGCACUUUCGGGUUAUCCCUGGAAGUAUGCCUGUAUCAGUGUCCAUACAUCAAACUUGGUUUUCUUCUUUCCGUGUAGUCGGUGGAGGAUAUGCCAGAUGUGAAGUGUCUUGCGGCUGGUUUUUUUGAAUCGGCUGCGAGUCCUUUGAAAUGUAUGGAACUGACUCUCUUUUGUUCGAAAAGCGUGGCGUUGCUGGUUGUGAAGGCUGCUAGUAUGACUAGUCGGCGACCGGUUUGUCUGCUAUGGCAUGAAUGGAAGAGUGUUCGAUUCGCGGUAUGGUUGGCUUCGGCUGAACAGGCGCGUAUUGGACGUUCAUCCCGCUGUGGCGUAUAACUGGUGAACCGUAGUUCAUGCAUGGCUUGGCGUUUGAAUCAGCUUUGCUGCUGCGAAGUAGAGUGACAGUUUUGGCUGUCGAGGGUCGACCUAUUUGAGAAAUUGUGCUGUGCGACUUCGGUCNCGUGGCAUCUCAAUUGGACCUGAUAUCAGGCAAGAUUACCCGCUGAACUUAAGCAUAUCAAUAAGCGGGGGGGA